UCAAGGUCCACAGCAGUGUAGGUCUUGUUUGCUGAGAGCUGUCAGUCCAUCAGAGACCUCACACUGCUAGCAGGUGGGAGCAGUGGUAACUAGCAGCAGUGCAACCAACAGAAGCUCAGGGAGUCUUGGACCAAAGCUUUAACUCACCUGUAAGGACACCUGCCAAGGCCAGGAUCCUGGAACAGCUUCUUCACCAUUGACAAUUCGAGCAUAGCCUGUGACAACAGGGGAGAUAGCAGGAGUGCCACAGCCUAAAAUCCAGGUAAACAAAUGCAUUAGGAAGAUUACAAGAACAAGAAAUGCUCCAACUGUCACAGGAUGUACAGCAAGAAACUAUCUUUGUAUGUGCCAACAAAUCAUUCAUAUUUGAUUGCAACCCACAUCACAAUUUAAGAGAGUCCAUCUUGUGGUUCAAUCUCACUUGGUCCAGAGUUUAGAAUCUGAACAAAAUCCCAGUUGGAGACCUCUAUGAAAAUAAAACAGUAAAGUAUGUAUAUUACCUCAAAAUUGCCUUAAUCUGAAUAACUUCAUCUGCAUUUCUGUCAUGCAUAUUAAAGACCAUGAGAUGUUUGGUCUUUCUUCAACAAAAUCAAAUGUGUAAUGGCUUAUGUAAGAGGAACUGUACAUUGCUGUGAAUGAUACCACAGUCAGAUGGUUUGGUAAUGCAAUAAUAUUCAUAUCACACCAUAAUGUGAUACAUAAAUACAUGUCUACAAGAGCCAAUCAGAGACUAAAAUUCUGUGGUGACUAACCCACCUCCUGACUUCUAAAAGCCUGUCCACCAAGUGCAAAGCACAAAUCAGGAGAGUAAUAGAAUACUCCCCUCUCCCCUCAGCUCACAGGCAGUUCGACCUUAAUUGAAGAAUUGUGUCAAAGAUUAAAGAGAAAGAUAUUGUGCAGCAAUAAAAUUCCUCAGAUUGGAAAGGGGAACUAUUACCAAUCAGUUUGUAAAUAUUAAAUUGAUUGUUGUGGAAACAUGCAGACAGAUUUUAUUCUCCUUAUGGUAUCUUAUCUAAACAGGAGACAGUUUAUAAACUUAUAGAAUUGCUAUUAAAGAGUUAAAUAGGAACAGUGUAAAUUAGAGUGUUUGGCACAAUAAGAAUGUAAGUUAAUGUGUUGGAUACAAAGUGUAUGAUUUACAGGAAUGAACUAAAUUCUUAUUAUAAUAAAUGAUUACAAGUAUAUCUUUAAGCCAAGUUUUAUGUUCAAGAGUUAUCCAAUCAGGCAAUAAAAAAAGACAAUUGAUUGAAGUUAUGAGGAGUGAUGGCAAGUGUUGGUAAUCCAAUUUCUUUCAAGAGCCAGUAAAUUAAAUUAGAACCACUUUAAGUAAAUACUUCAAUGAACUGAAAUGUUAUUACUAUCUAUAAUGUUUCAUUUGACUUGUUUUGAUCUUUGCUGU